UACACAUGCAAGUCGAACGAUGAACUCCAGCUUGCUGGGGGGAUUAGUGGCGAACGGGUGAGUAACACGUGAGUAACCUGCCCUUGACUCUGGGAUAAGCGCUGGAAACGGCGUCUAAUACCGGAUACGAGCUUCAGCCGCAUGGCUAGGAGUUGGAAAGAAUUUCGGUCAAGGAUGGACUCGCGGCCUAUCAGCUAGUUGGUGAGGUAAUGGCUCACCAAGGCGACGACGGGUAGCCGGCCUGAGAGGGUGACCGGCCACACUGGGACUGAGACACGGCCCAGACUCCUACGGGAGGCAGCAGUGGGGAAUAUUGCACAAUGGGCGAAAGCCUGAUGCAGCAACGCCGCGUGAGGGAUGACGGCCUUCGGGUUGUAAACCUCUUUUAGUAGGGAAGAAGCGAAAGUGACGGUACCUGCAGAAAAAGCACCGGCUAACUACGUGCCAGCAGCCGCGGUAAUACGUAGGGUGCAAGCGUUGUCCGGAAUUAUUGGGCGUAAAGAGCUCGUAGGCGGUUUGUCGCGUCUGCUGUGAAAUCUGGGGGCUCAACCCCCAGCCUGCAGUGGGUACGGGCAGACUAGAGUGCGGUAGGGGAGAUUGGAAUUCCUGGUGUAGCGGUGGAAUGCGCAGAUAUCAGGAGGAACACCGAUGGCGAAGGCAGAUCUCUGGGCCGUAACUGACGCUGAGGAGCGAAAGCGUGGGGAGCGAACAGGAUUAGAUACCCUGGUAGUCCACGCCGUA
rnacentral:rRNA from 1 species